CAAUGGCUAGAGCGGUGGACUAAUACUCCACAGAUUCAAGGUUCGAAUCCCG
rnacentral:tRNA from 1 species